rnacentral:rRNA from 1 species
UACAGAGGGUGCGGGCGUUGUCCGGAAUCACUGGGCGUAAAGGGCGCGUAGGUGGCCCGACAAGUCACUGGUGAAAGCUCGACGCUCAACGUCGAGUCGGCCAGUGAUACUGUUGGGCUGGAGCACUGUAGAGGCUCAUGGAAUUCCGGGUGUAGCGGUGGAAUGCGUAGAGAUCCGGAAGAACACCGGUGGCGAAGGCGGUGAGCUGGGCAGUAGCUGACACUGAGGCGCGACAGCGUGGGGAGCAAACAGG